rnacentral:lncRNA from 1 species
UUAUGAUUCGGCUUUCAAUACAAAUAAUCUUGUUUCAGGGAGAUAGGCAAUUUUCUUUUAGAUUAAUUAAGAUUUUAUAUUUGACUUAUGGGAGAUGGUUCAAAGGAAUUAAUAUUCAUACUUUUAGAAUAUUUUUAUGCUCAGAUUAAACAUGACGUGUUAACAUUAAUCAGUAGAAUUUGAGACAAUUUUAUGUAAGAAUAUUAAUCAUUCAAUCAAGGAUACAAUGAUUAUACUAAAUGAAACACUUCAAAGAUCAGAUUUAUUAAUCUUAGAUUUUAGAAUAGUCUUGAGAAUUACUUAUAAAGAAAAAACAAUCCGUUGUUAUAAAACUUUUUAGUAGAAUUUCCAUUAUGAUCACGACACAUUAAUCAUUUAUGAUUGAAACAUAUGAUGCAUACAUGCGACUUAUAGAGUAAAUCAUAAUAUAUUUCAAAUAAUCACAUAAGGAAUGAGUGAUAUAAUGAUAAAUUAUACUCAUACCUUCACAAAUAAUGAAAUAAGAUUUCAUAUAAGUAUUAUGCUCAAUAAAGUUUUAGCAUGAAAUGAACAUCAAACAUUUAUACUAGAGAGGGAAUU